AUUGAACGCUGGCGGCAGGCUUAACACAUGCAAGUCGAGCGAGCGGCGGACGGGUGAGUAAUGUCUGGGAAACUGCCUGUUGGAGGGGGAUAACUACUGGAAACGGUAGCUAAUACCGCAUACCAUCAGAUGUGCCCAGAUGGGAUGAGCUGGUAGGUGGGGUAAUGGCUCACCUUGGCGACGAUCCCUAGCUGGUCUGAGAGGAUGACCAGCGAAACUGGAACUGAGAAACGGUCCAGACUCCUAGGGGAGGUGGCAGUGGGGAAUAUUGCACAGUGGGCGCAAGCCUGAUGCAGCCAUGCAGCGUGUGUGAAGAAGGCCUUCGGGUUGUAGAGCACUUUCAGCGAGGGGGCGUUACUCGCAGAAGAAGCACCGGCUAACUCCGUGCCAGCAGCCGCGGUAAUUC
rnacentral:rRNA from 1 species